UCCUACGGGAGGCAGCAGUGGGGAAUAUUGCACAAUGGGGGAAACCCUGAUGCAGCCAUGCCGCGUGUGUGAAGAAGGCCUUCGGGUUGUAAAGCACUUUCAGUUGUGAGGAAAAGUUAGUAGUUAAUACCUGCUAGCCGUGACGUUAACAACAGAAGAAGCACCGGCUAACUCCGUGCCAGCAGCCGCGGUAAUACGGAGGGUGCGAGCGUUAAUCGGAAUUACUGGGCGUAAAGCGCACGCAGGCGGUUUGUUAAGCUAGAUGUGAAAGCCCCGGGCUCAACCUGGGAUGGUCAUUUAGAACUGGCAGACUAGAGUCUUGGAGAGGGGAGUGGAAUUCCAGGUGUAGCGGUGAAAUGCAUAGAUAUCUGGAGGAACAUCAGUGGCGAAGGCGACUCCCUGGCCAAAGACUGACGCUCAUGUGCGAAAGUGUGGGUAGCGAACAGGAUUAGAUACCCUGGUAGUCCACACCGUAAACGCUGUCUACUAGCUGUGUGUGCCUUUAAGGCGUGCGUAGCGAAGCUAACGCGCUAAGUAGACCGCCUGGGGAGUACGGCCGCAAGGUUAAAACUCAAAUGAAUUGACGG
rnacentral:rRNA from 1 species